UUUUGCUAAACACAAAAUGCACACGUCUUUAUUGCCUUUCCUAUUGCAGGUUAGUUCCAUAAAGAAGGAAUAUGAUCAAGCCUAAUCUGAGCUCAAUUUGAGUCGUUCAAAGAUGAAAGAAUGUGACGCUGAGUCAGUGCCAUUGUCAAGGAGCAGUAAAAGCUUCAACAUAAAAUUAGUGAUGCAAAUGUUGAGAGGAAAAAAUUGGAAAAUGAGAUAAAGUACUAGAAAGGCAUAGUUGGAUUGCAGCUAAGAAACAAUUAUUUGGAAAAAGUGGGAUAAAUUAUGACUUCUCAUCUCGUGACCCUCGUAAAUCAAGGGAGGAACUUGAGAAACUUCAAGAUGAACAAUCUGGCCUUGAGAAGAGGGUCAACAAAAAAGUUCUGACAAUGUUCGAGAAAGCUGAAGAUGAAUACAAUGACUUAUUAUCCAAGAAAAAUAUCAUUGAGAAUGAUCAGUCAAAAAUCAAGAAGGUGAUUGAAGAGCUUGAUGAAAAGAAGAAGGAAACACUAAAAGUUACUUGCGUUAAAUUGAACAAGUGAGUCAAGACUUCUCGGCUCUCAUGUUCCAGUUCAUAUUUUAUGCUUUAUAGUUGAAAAUCAAUAAUGCCAUUUACUUUUGUUGGUAUAUUUCAGUGAGCUUGAAGCUUUGAAUUGAAUUCUUGCACAUGUUUAUUUUUAAAUUUCGAUGCAUUCUAUUGAUUGCAUGGUCAAGAAUAUUAUAGCC